CCUACGGGAGACAGCAGUGAGGAAUAUUGGUCAAUGGACGAGAGUCUGAACCAGCCAAGUAGCGUGAAGGAUGACUGCCCUAUGGGUUGUAAACUUCUUUUAUAAAGGAAUAAAACGAGGCACGUGUGCCUUUUUGCAUGUACUUUAUGAAUAAGGAUCUGCUAACUCCGGGCCAGCAGCCGCGGUAAUACGGAGGAUCCGAGCGUUAUCCGGAUUUAUUGGGUUUAACGGGAGCGUAGGCGGAGGCAGAAGUCAGCGGUAAAAUCGCGGGGCUCAACCCCGCUCCGCCGUUGAAACUGUGUCCCUUGAGUGCGCGAAGGGUAGGCGGAAGGCGUGGUGUAGCGGUGAAAUGCAGAGAUAUCACGCAGAACUCCGAUCGCGAAGGCAGCCUACCGGCGCGCAACUGACGCUCAUGCACGAAAGCGUGGGUAUCGAACAGGAUUAGAUACCCUUGUAGUC
rnacentral:rRNA from 1 species